rnacentral:rRNA from 1 species
AACGAACGCUGGCGGCAGGCCUAACACAUGCAAGUCGAGCGGACCCUUCGGGGUUAGCGGCGGACGGGUGAGUAACGCGUGGGAAUAUGCCCUUCUCUACGGAAUAGUCCUGGGAAACUGGGGGUAAUACCGUAUACGCCCUUUGGGGGAAAGAUUUAUCGGGGAAGGAUUAGCCCGCGUUGGAUUAGGUAGUUGGUGGGGUAAUGGCCUACCAAGCCGACGAUCCAUAGCUGGUUUGAGAGGAUGAUCAGCCACACUGGGACUGAGACACGGCCCAGACUCCUACGGGAGGCAGCAGUGGGGAAUCUUAGACAAUGGGGGCAACCCUGAUCUAGCCAUGCCGCGUGAGUGGUGAAGGCCUUAGGGUUGUAAAGCUCUUUCAGCUGGGAAGAUAAUGACGGUACCAGCAGAAGAAGCCCCGGCUAACUCCGUG